rnacentral:rRNA from 1 species
CCGAGAAGUGUAACUUGUACGCGAGUCAAAGGGUGGAAAACCCCAUGGCGAAACGAAAGUAAAGGUCGGUUAACCGGCUGACAUGGGAUCCGCCUUUCGAGGCGGCGCACCAUGGCCCUGUCUUGUCUGCACGCAGAUGGGCAGCGGUAGAGCGUACAGGUUGCGACCCGAAAGAUGGUGAACUAUGCCUGAGCAGGACGAAGUCAGAGGAAACUCUGAUGGAAGUCCGUAUCGGUUCUGACGUGCAAAUCGAUCGAUAGACUUGGGUA